rnacentral:rRNA from 1 species
GAUGAACGCUAGCGGCAGGCCUAACACAUGCAAGUCGAGGGGUAACAUAGAAAAGCUUGCUUUUCUGAUGACGACCGGCGCACGGGUGCGUAACGCGUAUACAACCUACCUUUUAGCGGGGAAUAGCCCAGGGAAACUUGGAUUAAUGCCCCAUAGUAUAUAGACUUCCCCUGAAGUUUAUAUUAAACAUUUAUGGCUAUUAGAUGGGUAUGCGUCCUAUUAGUUAGUUGGUAAGGUAACGGCUUACCAAGGCAGCGAUAGGUAGGGGUCCUGAGAGGGAGAUCCCCACACUGGUACUGAGACACGGACCAGACUCCUACGGGAGGCAGCAGUGAGGAAUAUUGGACAAUGGGCGAGAGCCUGAUCCAGCCAUGCCGCGUGCAGGAAGACUGCCCUAUGGGUUGUAAACUGCUUUUACAGAGGAAGAACCACCCUCACGUGUGGGGGUUUGACGGUACUCUGCGAAUAAGGAUCGGCUAACUCCGUG